UACAGAGGUCCCAAGCGUUGUUCGGAUUUACUGGGCGUAAAGGGUGCGUAGGUGGUCGGGUAAGUCUGAUGUGAAAUCUCAGAGCUCAACUCUGAAACUGCAUUAGAUACUAUCUGGCUUGAGGGUCGGAGGGGGGACUGGAAUUCUCGGUGUAGCAGGUGAAAAUGCGUAGAUAUCGAAGAGGAACACCAGUGGCGAAGGCGAGUCCC
rnacentral:rRNA from 1 species